CUCUAGCCUAGGGGACAAGAGUGAGACUUCGUCUCAAGAAAAAAAAAACCAACCAUGUGACCUUCAAGUCACUUGUUCCUGUUUUUGAAAUAGCAUGCUGAGGGAUUUGGUCAUAUCAUUAGCCCAGACAUAGCCUGACAAGACCAGCCCUUGUGUAAUAAGAUUGGUUUGAGGUAGGAACUGUACUUGCUUUGUAGGAUGGGCAAGAGGAGACUCCAGGCUCUGGAUGGGAAGCUGAAGGCUGACCAAGGGUGGAUGAGAAAGAGGGCCUGCAAAGGGGACUCCACAGAGGCCACACGCGGGACAAGAGCAGCACCCGACUCCAGGCUGCAUCCAUCGUAUGGAGGUCUGUGGUCAUUUCGCCCAUUCACCUUUCUCCUCUGGAGAACCCAAACCCCAGAAACCAGAGGGAAUCGACUGCUGCUUCUCAGUGUACAGCAGAUCUUUUCCAAGGUUACGUGAGGUGUGAUAUCGCAGCAAAUAGCAUGCAGAAGCAGAUAUCACAGUCCAACUGUCUAACAGUCCAACUGGCAGAGAAGUAAUGCUUCUAGCAGUUGAGAGCAGCCACGUCGAGAUUGGAGAAGUCAAUGAACCCAGUGCUAGAUGGCGGCUACUAAAGGUGGAGAUGUCCUGCCAAUAUCAAGAUACAGGACUGCAGUGGUGGCCAAAUAGUAAAAGCAGAUAACAGGGGAUGUGAAAUCACUGCGUCUUCAACCGCCAGGUUGUAAAGCUUCGAGUCAUUUGUAAAGGACCAAAGUUUCCUACAUUUUCUCCAGCAUUUUCCUUUAACCAUGACUAUCCUGGACUCCUGCUACGAGGUUUGCUAUUAUUUGGAUGACGAGAGAAGGCAGAGUAGGGCAGAGUCUAAUAUUCCCAUUACUCUCAGGAUAACCGAGGCAUUCCCUGGAGCCCACCCUCCAGAAGCCAGAACAAUGAGACCUGCAAGCCCAGUUGGGGUCUCCAGGGAUUCGAUCUUUUGCACAGUGCUUUUGACUUAAGACAUUUUCAUUGCAAAGUGAGUAAGCGGGCUGUAUAUAGCUCUGUAAUUAGCCAGGUUGUCCAAUGCUGCCCAGGGCCCUUUAGAGUUCUGCCUCCGACCUUCCCUUGUAUAUGCACUCACUCAGUCCAGUGUCCUCAGAUACAGUGCCCUCACUUCAUGCCUAGUUUUUCUCUCCCUCCACUGGCGUGCUUCUCAUCUGGUCUGGCACCUUACUCAAGCUUUGGCUUCAAUUCUGUCAUUUAAUCGUCCAUGACUCUGUGCUGUGCAGCUCACAGGCCAAGCCAGCCCUGCUCUUCGCCUAAACGCAUCUCCAGCUCCAGGAAUCUGUUUGGAACUUCAAGCCGCUUCCUUGUUGGGUGGAGUGGUUUGGACAUGGACCAAUUCUAACUACGGGCAUUCUCCAACAGUACCGAGCUUCCUCCCAUCGCGCCCAAGUUCAACACCUUCCCAAACAGAAGGAAAAUGAUUCACUGAUUCAGUGUGCCUGACAAAAACAAUCAGUACAUAAGAGAACUUUUGAUACUGCUACUGAACCGUAAGGAGAAUCAUCCCCUGUAUUAGCCAAACUAAUUAAAAUCUGUCAGCUAUGCCAUAAUAAAUAAAUUAUAAAUUAAAACAUUAA